GAUGAACGCUGGCGGCGUGCCUAAUACAUGCAAGUCGAGCGAACGGACGAGAAGCUUGCUUCUCUGAUGUUAGCGGCGGACGGGUGAGUAACACGUGGAUAACCUACCUAUAAGACUGGGAUAACUUCGGGAAACCGGAGCUAAUACCGGAUAAUAUUUUGAACCGCAUGGUUCAAAAGUGAAAGACGGUCUUGCUGUCACUUAUAGAUGGAUCCGCGCUGCAUUAGCUAGUUGGUAAGGUAACGGCUUACCAAGGCAACGGUGCAUAGCCGACCUGAGAGGGUGUUCGGCCACACGGGAACUGGAACACGGUCCAGACUCCUACGGGAGGCAGCAGUAGGGAAUCUUCCGCAAUGGGCGAAAGCCUGACGGAGCAACGCCGCGUGAGUGAUGAAGGUCUUCGGAUCUUAAAACUCUGUUAUUAGGGAAGAACAUAUGUGUAAGUAACUGUGCACAUCUUGACGGUACCUAAUCAGAAAGCCACGGCUAACUACGUG
rnacentral:rRNA from 1 species